CGGCGAACGGGUGAGUAACACGUAAGUAAUUUGCCUCUAAAUUUGGGAUAACCUUGCUAACGCGGGGCUAAUACCGGAUGUGAUCCUAACAACUCAUGUUGUCUGGAUUAAAGGUGACCUCUUCUUGAAAGUUACUGUUUAGAGAUAAGCUUGCGGCCCAUUAGUUUGUUGGCGGGGUAACGGCCCACCAAGGCGACGAUGGGUAGCCGACCUGAGAGGGUGAUCGGCCACAUUGGGACUGAGAUACGGCCCAG
rnacentral:rRNA from 1 species